GUCCACGCCGUAAACGAUGGGCACUAGGUGUUCGGGGUUUUGACCCCCCGAGUGCCGCAGCUAACGCAUUAAGUGCCCCGCCUGGGGACUACGGCCGCAAGGCUAAAACUCAAAGGAAUUGACGGGGCCCGCACAAGCGGUGGAGCAUGUGGUUUAAUUCGACGCAACGCGAAGAACCUUACCUGGGCUAGACGACACCGGACAGCCCCAGAAAUGGGGUCUUCCCGCAAGGGACCGGUGGUUCAGGUGCUGCAUGGCUGUCGU
rnacentral:rRNA from 1 species